rnacentral:rRNA from 1 species
AUGCAACUGAAAGAAACUGUAAGUCAUGUAGAGCUUACUCAAAACGAUUCUGCUCACGAGGACAUCGCAAGAGAUUUUCGAGCAGAGAUAAACAAGUUAAAAGAAGUGGAGGCAGCAAAAGCUACUGAAGCAGCACAAACCCUUCAGCAGAGCAUAGAUGAGCUGCAAGUGGUAGACAGAGAGAAGGAUGACGAGAUUGACAGAUUGAGAGCAGAAGCAGUUGAUGCAGAAAACAAGGAGACUAGUCCAAAGAAGAGUCAAAAGCGCAGGAGGAAUACCAGUGAGUUGCAGCUUGAACAGUGCACAGGCUGA